UACGUAGGGUGCAAGCGUUAAUCGGAAUUACUGGGCGUAAAGCGCGUGUAGGCGGCUAAGUAAGUCGGGCGUGAAAUCCCACGGCUCAACCGUGGAAGUGCACUCGAAACUGCAUAGCUAGAGUCCUGGAGAGGAAGGUGGAAUGCUUGGUGUAGAGGUGAAAUUCGUAGAUAUCAAGCGGAACACCGGUGGCGAAGGCGGCCUUCUGGGACAGUGGACUGACGCUGAGACGCGAAAGCGUGGGGAGCAAACAGGG
rnacentral:rRNA from 1 species